rnacentral:lncRNA from 1 species
ACUGCUUCCUAGGGCUCAGCGGACCCCUGAUCUUUAAUCCUGGUGGGGGCGUCACCCGGCCUAGCACUCAGGACAGGAUCUGUGACACGCACUGGGUCUGUGCCCUGGCGCCUGAGAUUGGCACUUCAUUGCAGGAAGGCCUCACGGUAUUUGCACCAGUGCCCAUUCUAGAGAAAAGGUUUGGGUCUAGGAGCCAAAGUUGGGCGAUUAUUAUCUAAUUUUCCACUCCUUUUUGGAUGUACAGAUCCAGGCAUUGUGCCACUUCACAGCCCAACUUUUGAUCCCAGACCUCCUCCUCUAAAGAAACUUAUUUGAGAAAAUGAGCACUGAUUUUAUUAAGAACUUUAUGUAGAAUCAGACCUAAAUUACCAGUAUUCAAAACUUGGAAUGUGGCGUGGAACCAGAAUCUCAGAACUUCAUUCGCCGAAGUACUGAGAAUGUGCUGUAACCUUCUGUAUCAGUGCAUCUCAAACUGUGCUAAAGGACCUGUUUUUGUCUCCAAGCCAUUCCAGAUGGGUGCUUUUAGAAAAUACAAAAAAAAAAAGUGCUAGAAAAAGAAAAGCAAAAGGCAUACAAAACACAAGCCCCGAUAUUUUAUUAUUAGAUCCAAGACAUAUAAAAGUACUCUGCCAAAAUGAGGCAGAAUAGGGUUUGGAGGCAGGGUACUUAAGGCCACUUCGUGCUGACUUCCUAAAGCUCAAUCAAGGAAAAACAGCAAGGGCUGGAAGUAGGGAAUCUGAGACCAGUUGGUGCUGGCUUCCCAAAGCUGGAUCAAAAGGAAAACACCUGGGUCUGGGGGCCGAGAGCCUAGGGCCAAUUAACACCAACUUCCUAAAGCUAAACCAGAAGGAAAAACCCCAUCUCCCCACUCCCCAGUAGCAAAGGAUCAAAGGCUACUCUCCCUACAACCUUCUGUUCCCAGACCAAACUGAGGGUUGGGCUGCUAUUUUUCAAGGCCCAAUAACGAGAUGCAGAUGAGCUGGGGAGGAAGAGAGUUUUUAUUUCUGUAACCGGUUGCAGGGAGAAGGCCUGGAAAUUAUCGCCAGACCAACUCAAAAUUACAGUUUUUCAGAGCUUAUAUACCUUCUAAGCGAACUGUCUACGUGUAAGUGUGCAUUUAUCUAAAGACAUAAGUGAUUAACUUCUUUUAAUCUGUAACUAAGGUCUGAGUCCUGAAAACCUUCCUCUGGAGCCUCAGUAAAUUUACUUAACCUAAAUGGGUCCAGGUGCUGGGGUGAUUAUCCUUGUAUUCUCUCCUGCUAAGUGGUGGAGGUUUGAGGAGUUCUCUUAGACCCCCCAAUAAACUUGUUUGUGGAGGCCUGGGGAGUUUCUUCAGACCACAAUAAAACUUGUUUAAUCCUAAAGGGGUCCUGUUAAGAAUUCUUUCUUUAUUUUGUAUGCUUUAAGAGGCCCAGGAAAGGCCUAGGCAAAAUUCUUAAUGGGCUUUUGUUACACCCCAGCCUUUGUAUAAGGGCACUGGCUUUCAAUAUUUAACCACUUAGUCAGUACUGAAACAGUUGUUAGUGAGACGUGGCCUGCCACACUUCCACCGUGUCUCAGAUGGAAAGGGAAAGUGCCUUGGAUUGGCUGUGGGCCAACCACUAAGCAUGGGCCAUGCCAUCAUCUGCAUAGGGCACAAAUUCACCUCAGCCUUUACUUAGCCAUAAACCAAAUCCUUCAUCCAGAUAAGGGGUAGCGCAUAGGGACCUCAAAAGAACUAUUUAAAACCCAGAAAACUUUGUAACUGGGCCCUUGAGCCACUUGCUCAGGCCCACUCCCACCCUGUGGAGUGCUUUCUCAGUUUAAUAAAUCCCUGCUUUUGCUUUCGCAGCUUCACCUUUGUUACUUUGUGCAUUUUGUCCAACUUUUCGUUCCAAAUGGCCAAAAACCUGGAUGACUCACACUCAAGGCCCUCCUUCCAGUGACAAAACUGCUAUAAAGGUUUCUAAUGCUUACUCUAGGUUUCUGUAUUUGUAGUAGACUGGUAAUGGGACCAUCACUAGCCCCAGCUCAUGCAGAAUAAAACUGUGUAUCAUACAUCAAACGCUACUGAACAUACUUUAUUUAAUGGCCUCUUUCAGUGUUUUAAUUAUUUAUGAACA